ACAGCCAUAUCUCAUUGGAAACAUCGAUUCUCGUCCAAUCACUGAAGUUAAGCAAUGUCGGGCCUGGUCAGUACAUGGGAGGGUGACCACUUGGAAACACCCGAUGCUUUAAGCU